UUUAUGUACAUGAAGAUUUUGCAAAAGAAUUUUUGUAGUCAAUUUUUAAUAUUAACUCGGUAGUAAGUUUUUUAACAUUUUUAACUUUUAUUUUGUAAAUAUGAUUUUUUUUUUGUAAAAGAGGUUCGAUAGUCAAUUUUUUUAUAUUUUAUUUAUUUAUUUUUUAACCUUUAAUAAAUUAUUUAUAUAAGGGUGUUUUGAUAAUAAAAAAAUGUCAUAUGCUAAUUUAGGCCUCAA
rnacentral:lncRNA from 1 species